CCCUUAGAUGUCCUGGGCCGCACGCGCGUUACACUGAUGCAUUCAACGAGCUUAUAACCUUGGCCGAGAGGCCUGGGCAAUCUUGUUAACGUGCAUCGUGAUAGGGAUAGAUUAUUGAAAUUAUUAAUCUUGAACGAGGAAUUCCCAGUAAACGCAGAUCAUCAAUCUGCAUUGAUUACGUCCCUGCCCUUUGUACACACCGCCCGUCGCGCCUACCGAUUGGAUGGUCCGGUGAAGCCUCGGGAUUGUGGUUCUUGCCGCUUUAUUGUGGCGUGACCGCGAGAACUUGUCUAAACCUUAUCAUCUAGAGGAAGGUGAAGUCGUAACA
rnacentral:rRNA from 1 species